UGCUUUUCAGAAAUCGUGUGUCCUCAGAGGAUGCACUUUCCAAAGCCUGUAACAUUCGGGCGGCCAGCAGCACGGGCACCUGCCAUCUUGCGGACACGAGCUGCCCGUCUGGUUUGUCCUCUGCGCCUCUGCAUGGGAGUGAGAUGCAGGCCAGUGAAACUGCUCUGUAGACAGGUCAGCAGAGGGAGUGGAUCAUGACAGGAGCCGGGAGACUGGCUUCUCAUUCGGGCCCUGCAGGUGACGGUGUCACCCUGUGUGUGACAAAGAACAUCACCUUUCUGCUCAAGGGCCUCUGUUUGAAAUUAGGAUCUUGGCCCGGAUCAGUGGUUCUCAAAUUUGGAUGUGCAUCAGGACCAUCUGGAGGGCUUUGGUAAAACACAACUGCCCCCACUCCACCACCACCAUAAUUUCACACUCAGCAGGUCAGAGGUGGGGCCUAAGACUGAUUCUAACAAAUUCCCAAAUGGGGCUCAUGCUGCUGACCCAGGGACAACGCUUUGAGAACCACUGGCCUAAAUAAUGACUACAGCUACUUCCAGCUGUGAGAUUUUAGAAUUUUGUUUCUAAGAAGCAGUGUAAUAUGGGAAGAAGAAAUUAAGAAAUAAAGGAGGAUUUGAGAAGACACAUGAGGCCUGGUGCAGUGGCUCACACCUGUAAUCCCAGCACUUUGGGAGGUCAGGUGGGAGGAUGGUUUGAUGCCAGGAGUUUGACACCAGCCUGGGCAACAUGGCGAGAUUUCAUCUCUACAAUAAAACUUUUUAAGAAAUUGGCAGGUGUGGUGGCAUGCACCUGUAGUCUUAGCUACUCAAAGCUGAGGUGGGAGAAUCUCUUUGAGCCUAGGAGUUCUAGGUUACAGGGAGCUAUGAUCACAACACUGCACUCCAGCCUGGGCAACACAGUGAGAACCUGUCCCUAAAAGAAGAAGGAGGAGGAGCAGGAGGAGCAGGAGAAGAACGAAGAGGAGAGGAGAAAUUUCUGAACAGUCCCCUCAAGCAACAAGCAGAUUAAUAUGGCAAGGAGGUUGGAAUGUAGCCUUUGGGGCAUUUUGAAGAAAUGGCUUUUUAGCCCAGAAAGAAGAUAAAUCUGAGAGAUUUGAGAGCUACCUUCCAAUAACUGAUGCAUCAUAUGAGAGAGUGCCUGUUUCAACCUAAGUACUACCACAGGAUUCUGAGAAGCACUCCCCACAGAAAUUGACACAUACCCCAUAGAUAGAAAUUGACACAACUUUUCUAGAGAACCACAUGGCCCUCAAUGUUAAGGCCAUUAAGAAUUCCCACAUCCUUUGGCCAGGACUUCUAAUGGAAUUUAUCUCAAAGAAGUAAUUAGAAUGUGGCAAAGAUUUUCCUACAGUGAUAUUUACAGCAGUGUUGUUUAUAAUAUUGAAAAAUUAGAAACAGCCUAGGUAUCCAAAACUAAGAAUACCUUACACACAUUGCAAUAUAUCCAUGCCACAGAAAAUUUGGUGACCAUUAAAAAUAUUUAAUAUGUUUUCAAAGACUUUAAUGAUAUGAGAAAUGUCAGAAUGUCAGUGAAAAGAACAAGCUGCAUACAAAAUCUACAGUCAAUGUGAUUCCAAUUUUGUAAAACAUAUGCCAGCCCACACAUGCACAAAUAGGAAGAAAUAUACCAAAAUGCUAACAGUGCUCAUCACUGCAGGUUAUAUUUAUUGGGGAUGUUUUCCAGAUUAUUUUUUCUAUAUUUUUCAAAUUUUCUGCAAUGCAUAUGUGUCAUCUUUAUAAUCGGAGAAAAGUACUAAACAUAUUUGAAGAGCAGUUAUAUGCUGAAUGAGUGAUAGAUUCAGGGAUGACUUGAAGCUGGAACUGCUCAAGAACAGCUUCCCAAUGAGGUGUGACCUUCUCUCUGGGAGUGUCCAGGUCUGCACUGGGUGGGGGGGUUGAACAAGAGAGAGGCUAAGUGUGAGAAAGGAUGGGAUGAAAAGGAAAAUGACUUUUACUGAGCAUCUGCUACAGAUUGGUUUCUAUGCUGCAAAGCUGAGAUUAAAAAUCAAAAUAAGUUCUGCAAUGAACUAAAGCUGGUAAGAGUUGGAGCUGAGACCCGAAUCCAGGACUUCCUGGCUCUGGAGCACAAAUUUGAAGCAGCCUUCUUCACCUGCAGGAGCCAGGCCUGCAUCAGUCACCUGUUUAUAAGGCCAGCAAGUCUGAUCACCUCUUGCAAUCAACAAACAGGUUUCCAUGGAGGCAGAAGGAAGAUAAGGUUGGAGAAGCAGCUGCCUAAAUGACCUGUGGGCCUGAAUAUGAGGGGUGCCCAGCCCCCAGGGACACCCCACUUCUUGUGCACUUUCAAAGAGUUUUCAAGGUGGAAGAAAGCAGAGUUGACUGGGGUUGCGGACUAAGCUGACACAAGUAGGGUGGGGACAGUGUGGCAGGCUCCAGCAAGCACCAGAUCAGUACCUUCAGCCCUAGUACUUCUCAGCUAACUAGUGGUAAAGGUGGGCCUGGGCCCCAGGACCUUAUGGAAAUAGACAUGAAGGUCCAUUUGGAUGGAUGGACUGAGUUUUAAAAGCCUCUGCUUUUGCUAAUGGAUGGUAAAGCCCAUAUGCUGUUGCACCCUCUCCCAGCCUCUCUUCACAGGGACCUACAGACUCCUCCACCAGAACCCUCCCCAGCAGACAGCAACUCCCCUUCAGUUGGUCUGUGGGCACUCGAAGCUGUGUGCAACCAGGCCAAUGAGGUCGGUGAGGCUAUGGAGGACGGCCUUGAGAAAAACCAAGCCAGGACAUCUGGGAUCAAGAAGACAGAACACAAUACAACAGCUGGAAGGAAUGGAGAAAUGUACAGAUAAAGCAAAAUAAUCAGGAUAUGAGAUCUCAUUCCACUCCCAGUUAAUCAUCUGGAAGCUGUAUUCAAGGCUGCACAUUAACUUCAUGAAUACGCCACAGACACCUCAAGUGCAAGAGGUUUAAAGCCAAACCCCAUGUUUUAACCACCCAAUAUGUUUCCUUCCUGUGUUCCCAAUUUCAGAAAAAGCCUCAGUUACGACUUUCUGAGCCUUAGUUUUUCAACCCACAAAAUGGAGGGAGCAAUGCCUGCUCUGUCUACCUGGGCUGCCAGAGUCAGGUGAGAACCCAGACACAAACACACAUUGGAAAAUAACAACUGUGAGGAAGAUGGAGACCAGAGCAUGCUCACUCACUGCCAACAUUGUUCACCUGGUUAUUGACUCUCAAAGGAGGGACCCCAUCUCACAUGAGCAUGUGAUGGCACCAUGCAAAUUGCAAUGGGCUGCACCAGCAAGAGAAUGACAAACCAACAAGGCCGGCACCAUAUGACAAGAGCACCAGAGACUUCCUUCAGAUGCUAUGCACAGCCAUUUCCACAGAGACCUAUUAGAGACUAAAACUGAAUUUUUAGUAUGAAACAAGGGACUGACAAUGACAGCAGGAAUUUUCAGCAAGAAGGGAAAGGAGAACAACACAUAGCAUGCUUGAGGGAGGGCUAAUUGGAGUAAGCAGGGAUGUGGUUAAAAGGGGAGGACCUCAGAGGUAAUCAUCUAUAUCCCUUAUUUCCCAGUGGAACCAUUUAAACUGAGAGAGGAUGUGGAGGUUAGCCUCCAGCAUGGCUCCCAGUGAUCCCCACCUCCUGGAAAUUAUAUCCUUGUGUAGUCUCCUCCCAGACUGAAUAGGGGUGACCUGGAGAACCAAUAGGGUAUUGAGGUGAUCACAGUGUUUGACUUCUGCACCUAUGUCAUAAAGCGCAUGAUGACAUCUGCCUUGGAUCACUCACUCUGUGGGAAGCCAGCUUCCCUGUGGUGAGGACACUCAAACAGUCUUAGGAAGAAGCUUCCAUGGAGAGUAACUGCAGCCUCCUGACAACAGUCAGCAAGGAACUAAGACUUUCUGCCAACAGCCACAUGAGUGACCCAUCUUGGGAGAUGAUUCUCCAGCCCCAGUCAAACCUUCAGAUGAUGUGGUUCCAGCGAACAUCUUGAGAGCCUGUGAGCAGACUCCCAGUUACACCACUCCCAGAUUUCUGACCUAUUAUACUAUGAGAUAAUUAAUAAAUGAUUGCUGUUUUAAUUCACCCAGGUUUGGGGUUGUUUGUUAUACAUCAACAGAUAACUACUACAGAGGGUGUAUUUCAUUUCCAAUUACUUUCUGCAUUUUUACACUAUAUCCACAGUCAUUACCUCAUUUGAUUCUUAUACUUACUUAUUUUCUCUGGCUCAAAGGUUGAUAAGCUAUGUCUUGGAGAAGUUAAAUAGCAUUUCCAAAUUCACAUUAUGCAUCGUGGCAGAUCCAGGUGAGGGGCCAAGCAUUCUGACUUCUCGUGUUUUCUCUCUGCAUAUAAUCCAGAUGCUGAAAGCACAUUCUGUGGGCAGCUGCAUCCUUGAACAUUGUCUGGAGCCUGCUCUAUUUUGAAAGAACUCUUUGCUGCAUGCUCUAGGGCACAGAUGGAGGCAGCAUCAUAGGUGGGUUAAGCAGUUACCUCCUCUUUGGCACAACCUGCUAAGCUAACCUGAGUACUCCCAACCAUUAUUCCACAAGCCUCUACCGAGUGCCUCCUGUAUGACAAGUGUCAUAGAACUCACAUCAACAGGAUGCAUUUCCUGGAGGCACAGUUCAAUAGAGAGCUGGGGGUGAAAAAAAAAGAGAGAAAAGAAAAAAUAAGAAAGCUAUAACAUUUGAGCUUGAAAUGUCACAGGGAGCCAAGGAAGUUGUCUGAUGGAUUGCCCUGUCAUCUCCAAGCCAAAAGAAAAAAAAUUUCAGAUCCAUCAAUUUGUUCCUGCCCUUUUAAUCCAAGCAAUACUUUACAGCAUCAGAAUGCAAAGAAAUUAUUUUCUUAGACGAAUCCUCAUGUGGACUGCUGAGCACUUAACCAGAAAACAGCAAGAGAGAACUGUAGGUUGUUCAAGUGUCUGCACAUCUGAUUGAUCCAGAUUGAAUGUACAAUAUACUGGAACACAUAUGAGAGCCUACUGGUGACAUAUGUUCAUUCAUUCAUCCAUGUGGAGUUGACAUCGCUUUGCCAUAGACAAUGAAUUUGAAGAGACACCUGUGUACAUGUGCACCAGCUGCCCAGGUUGAGGACUGCUCCUGCCUGCUCUGGACCUGCUCCUCCCUUUGGCUGGCUUUCCAAUUAGUGUAGACAUGUUCUCCCAUAUCCUAGCCUCUCUUUGGGCCACAUUUGAGGAUACCACCAACCAACCCUUGGAUCAAAUGCUUGGCUCUUGGGCUCAGACCCUGUAGGGAUAUAGCUUUAUUUGCAAAGUAGGCUGAAAGACUCCCUCUCUUGACAAGGAAAGCUGAUUGGCAGUAUGAAGAGUACACUGCAGAAGUUUUGAGGAGGACAAGCACUUACGAUGGCUUUACAGGGAUGGCUGCCCAAGUGAGAUAGAAUUUAACAUGACAAAAUGAAGGCACAGAGAAAUGAUAUAGCUUGCUCAAGGUCAUACAGAAGUGGUCGAUCUGGGAUUUGAACCCAUGUCAUCUGAUGGCAGAGCCUUCACAAGCCUGGCAUGUAUUGCUUGCUAGUGAUUCCAUAUCUACCUGUCUGUAAUUUCUGUCUAAUUCCAUUUUCUGUAGGAAUUCAAAUCAGUAAACAAAAAAUUUUUUGCAUCUUUUCAAAU
rnacentral:lncRNA from 10 species